rnacentral:rRNA from 1 species
UACGUAGGGGGCAAGCGUUGUCCGGAUUUAUUGGGCGUAAAGGGUGCGUAGGCGGCGCGGUAAGUCGGAUGUGAAAUCUCGGAGCUUAACUUCGAAACUGCAUUCGAUACUGCCGUGCUAGAGGACUGGAGAGGAGACUGGAAUUUACGGUGUAGCGGUGAAAUGCGUAGAUAUCGUAAGGAAGACCAGUGGCGAAGGCGGGUCUCUGGACAGUUCCUGACGCUGAGGCACGAAGGCCAGGGGAGCAAACGGG